rnacentral:tRNA from 1 species
AAAAUAUUAGGUUAAUAUUAAACCUUUGAUCUUCAAAGUCAACAAUCAAUCAUAUGAUAUUUUG